UACAGAGGGUGCGAGCGUUAAUCGGAAUUACUGGGCGUAAAGCGUGCGUAGGCGGUCGUGUAAGUCGGGUGUGAAAGCCCCGGGCUCAACCUGGGAAUUGCAUUCGAGACUGCACGGCUGGAGUGCGGAAGAGGGAAGCGGAAUUUCCGGUGUAGCGGUGAAAUGCGUAGAUAUCGGAAGGAACAUCAGUGGCGAGAGCGGCUUCCUGGUCCAGCUCUGACGCUCAGGCACGAAUGCGUGGGGAGCAAAGAGG
rnacentral:rRNA from 1 species